rnacentral:rRNA from 1 species
CAAAAWGACUCUCGGCAACGGAUAUCUCGGCUCUUGCAUCGAUGAAGAACGUAGCGAAAUGCGAUACGUGGUGUGAAUUGCAGAAUCCCGUGAACCAUCGAGUUUUUGAACGCAAGUUGCGCCCAAAGCYUUUUGGUUGAGGGCACGUCUGCCUGGG